UACGAAGGGGGCUAGCGUUGUUCGGAUUUGCUGGGCGUAAAGCGCACGUAGGCGGAUCGAUCAGUCAGGGGUGAAAUCCCAGAGCUCAACUCUGGAACUGCCUUUGAUACUGUCGAUCUGGAGUAUGGAAGAGGUGAGUGGAAUUCCGAGUGUAGAGGUGAAAUUCGUAGAUAUUCGGAGGAACACCAGUGGCGAAGGCGGCUCACUGGUCCAUUACUGACGCUGAGGUGCGAAAGCGUGGGGAGCAAACAGG
rnacentral:rRNA from 1 species